GGCACACUCUCUUGACCCCUCGCAGCUCUCACUCUCUCCCAGUCCCUCAAACUCAAAGCCAGUGCUGAAUUCAGAUCAAUUCAUGUAACGGUCUUCUCAUUUACCCUUGCACGGAGGUUAGCUGCUCUCUCUCCCAAAUAGCGGCCUUUGCUUCCUCUUUCACAGCAGCCGAACCUCACGCGGGACUGAUAUCGUAGUGAUCUUACCCACUAAGUCUGAAGGUUGGCCUCACUAUAUUCCCAGUGCAAUUUAGUUGGGUUUUUGGAAAAUCUAAUAGUGUUGGAGAAGGUUUCAGCAAGAGGAUACUUCUUAAACGUGUAGCAAUUGAGCAAGCCAAAUUUAAAGUAAUGGAGAAGAAGUACAAAGGAACCUUGAAGUUGUUGUUGUCAUUGUUUAUUUUUAUGCUUAUGAACAUGUGGUGGUGAAUGUAAUGGACAUGUAGAUUAUGAUGUGGGAAUGUAAUGUACAUAUUUUUAGACAUGUUAUAAAAAUGUAAGCUAUAGAUGUUUCGAACACAAUCUGGACAAGCAAAGC